UACGGGGGGGGCAAGCGUUGUUCGGAAUUACUGGGCGUAAAGGGCUCGUAGGUGGCCAACUAAGUCAGACGUGAAAUCCCUCGGCUUAACCGGGGAACUGCGUCUGAUACUGGAUGGCUUGAGUUUGGGAGAGGGACGCGGAAUUCCAGGUGUAGCGGUGAAAUGCGUAGAUAUCUGGAGGAACACCGGUGGCGAAGGCGGCGUCCUGGACCGAGAUUGACGCUGAUGCGCGAAAGCCAGGGGAGCAAACGGG
rnacentral:rRNA from 1 species